rnacentral:tRNA from 1 species
GGGAAUAGCUCAGUGGUAGAGCACCUCGUUGCCAACGAGGAUGUCGCGAGUUCGAAUCUCGUUUCCC